rnacentral:lncRNA from 1 species
AGAGAUGAAUAGAAUUGGAUGUGUGAAAGAGAAUAUAGAAAAAAUGAUUAGUUUCAAAAUAUAUUCUUAGUAAAGAUUUAUAUCCAGUAAUUGGAAUAUUGAGUGAGUGUAUAUAAUCUGUUAAGGCAAUACAAUAUUACAUGAUGGUGUUAUGAGAUUAGAGAAAGACAAGUGAGUAAAAUAGGUGAUUUAUGGAAGACAAGAUUACAAACAUUUAUAUUUGACUCUAAAUAGGAAUCUUUGGAUAGUUAUAGAAAUUGAAGUCAUUUUAGAGUGUUUUAUAUAUCAAUAGAAUUUAGCCAAUCAAGAACGGUUAAUUAUGUAAUUCUAACAAGUAUAUCUCAUAUA